rnacentral:rRNA from 1 species
AUUGAACGCUGGCGGCAUGCCUUACACAUGCAAGUCGAACGGCAGCACGGGUGCUUGCACCUGGUGGCGAGUGGCGAACGGGUGAGUAAUACAUCGGAACAUGUCCUGUAGUGGGGGAUAGCCCGGCGAAAGCCGGAUUAAUACCGCAUACGAUCUACGGAUGAAAGCGGGGGACCUUCGGGCCUCGCGCUAUAGGGUUGGCCGAUGGCUGAUUAGCUAGUUGGUGGGGUAAAGGCCUACCAAGGCGACGAUCAGUAGCUGGUCUGAGAGGACGACCAGCCACACUGGGACUGAGACACGGCCCAGACUCCUACGGGAGGCAGCAGUGGGGAAUUUUGGACAAUGGGCGAAAGCCUGAUCCAGCAAUGCCGCGUGUGUGAAGAAGGCCUUCGGGUUGUAAAGCACUUUUGUCCGGAAAGAAAUCCUUGGCUCUAAUACAGUCGGGGGAUGACGGUACCGGAAGAAUAAGCACCGGCUAACUACGUGCCAGCAGCCGCGGUAAUACGUAGGGUGCGAGCGUUAAUCGGAAUUACUGGGCGUAAAGCGUGCGCAGGCGGUUUGCUAAGACCGAUGUGAAAUCCCCGGGCUCAACCUGGGAACUGCAUUGGUGACUGGCAGGCUAGAGCAUGGCAGAGGGGGGUAGAAUUCCACGUGUAGCAGUGAAAUGCGUAGAGAUGUGGAGGAAUACCGAUGGCGAAGGCAGCCCCCUGGGCCAAUACUGACGCUCAUGCACGAAAGCGUGGGGAGCAAACAGGAUUAGAUACCCUGGUAGUCCACGCCCUAAACGAUGUCAACUAGUUGUUGGGGAUUCAUUUCCUUAGUAACGUAGCUAACGCGUGAAGUUGACCGCCUGGGGAGUACGGUCGCAAGAUUAAAACUCAAAGGAAUUGACGGGGACCCGCACAAGCGGUGGAUGAUGUGGAUUAAUUCGAUGCAACGCGAAAAACCUUACCUACCCUUGACAUGGUCGGAAUCCCGCUGAGAGGUGGGAGUGCUCGAAAGAGAACCGGCGCACAGGUGCUGCAUGGCUGUCGUCAGCUCGUGUCGUGAGAUGUUGGGUUAAGUCCCGCAACGAGCGCAACCCUUGUCCUUAGUUGCUACGCAAGAGCACUCUAAGGAGACUGCCGGUGACAAACCGGAGGAAGGUGGGGAUGACGUCAAAUCAUCAUGCCCCUUAUGAUUUGGGCUACACACGUGCUACAAUGGACAAUACAAAGGGCAGCGAAACCGCGAGGUCAAGCAAAUCCCAUAAAGUUGUUCUCAGUUCGGAUUGUAGUCUGCAACUCGACUAUAUGAAGCUGGAAUCGCUAGUAAUCGUAGAUCAGCAUGCUACGGUGAAUACGUUCCCGGGUCU